rnacentral:rRNA from 1 species
GACGAACGCUGGCGGCGUGCUUAACACAUGCAAGUCGAACGGUAAUGCCCUUCGGGGUACACGAGUGGCGAACGGGUGAGUAACACGUGGGUGAUCUGCCCUGCACUUCGGGAUAAGCCGGGGAAACUGGGUCUAAUACCGGAUAGGACAACUGCCUGCAUGGGUGGGGGUGGAAAGCUUUUGCGGUGUGGGAUGGGCCCGCGGCCUAACAGCUUUGUGGUGGGGUGAUGGCCUACCAAGGCUACGACGGGUAGCCGGCCUGAGAGGGUGACCGGCCACACUGGGACUGAGAUACGGCCCAGACUCCUACGGGAGGCAGCAGUGGGGAAUAUUGCACAAUGGGCGCAAGCCUGAUGCAGCGACGCCGCGUGAGGGAUGACGGCCUUCGGGUUGUAAACCUCUUUCAGCACCGACGAAGCGCAAGUGACGGUAGGUGCAGAAGAAGGACCGGCCAACUACGUGCCAGCCGCCGCCGUAA